AUACGGAGGGUGCAAGCGUUAUGCGGAAUUAUUGGGUUUAAAGGGUCCGUAGGCGGCUAGAUAAGUCAGUGGUGAAAUUCUCUCGCUCAACGAGAGACCUGCCAUUGAUACUGUCUUGGCUAGAGUUACAGUGAGGUGAGUGGAAUGUGUAGUGUAGCGGUGAAAUGCAUAGAUAUUACACAGAACACCGAUUGCGAAGGCAGCUCACUAACUGUAUACUGACGCUGAUGGACGAAAGCGUGGGGAGCAAACAGGAUUAGAAACCCCAGUAGUCC
rnacentral:rRNA from 1 species